rnacentral:rRNA from 1 species
AUUGAACGCUGGCGGCAUGCCUUACACAUGCAAGUCGAACGGUAACAGGUCUUCGGAUGCUGACGAGUGGCGAACGGGUGAGUAAUACAUCGGAACGUGCCCGAUCGUGGGGGAUAACGAGGCGAAAGCUUUGCUAAUACCGCAUACGAUCUACGGAUGAAAGCGGGGGAUCUUCGGACCUCGCGCGGACGGAGCGGCCGAUGGCAGAUUAGGUAGUUGGUGGGAUAAAAGCUUACCAAGCCGACGAUCUGUAGCUGGUCUGAGAGGAUGAUCAGCCACACUGGGACUGAGACACGGCCCAGACUCCUACGGGAGGCAGCAGCGGGGAAUUUUGGACAAUGGGCGAAAGCCUGAUCCAGCCAUGCCGCGUGCAGGAUGAAGGCCUUCGGGUUGUAAACUGCUUUUGUACGGAACGAAAAGCCUCUUUCUAAUAAAGAGGGGUCAUGACGGUACCGUAAGAAUAAGCACCGGCUAACUACGUG